rnacentral:rRNA from 1 species
AGAGAGAGACAUGCGCGCAUAUCAAUAAGCGGAGGAAAAGAAACUAACAAGGAUUCCCUUAGUAACGGCGAGUGAAGCGGGAAGAGCUCAAAUUUGAAAUCUUCAAGGUUUUACCCUUGACGAAUUGUAGUUUAAAGAAGUGUUUUCUGCUGGAGUUUUGGUAAAAGUUCUUUGGAAUAGGACAUCAUAGAGGGUGAGAAUCCCGUAUUUGACCAUUAUUUUCAGCUUUGUGAUACACUUUCAAAGAGUCGGAUUGUUUGGGAAUGCAGUCCAAAAUGGGUGGUAAAUUUCAUCUAAAGCUAAAUAUUGGCGAGAGACCGAUAGCGAACAAGUACCGUGAGGGAAAGAUGAAAAGAACUUUGAAAAGAGAGUUAAACAGUACGUGAAAUUGUCAAAAGGGAAGCGUUUGACACCAGUGUUGUUUUCUCGAAAAUCAAUUAAAAAUGGCUCGAUUUUGUAUUGUUGAGACCUUAAAAGCUCACUGUACAUUUUUCGUGUCUUUUUUAAUGCACUUUUCGUUUAACAAGUCGACAUCAGUUUCUUUUGUUGUAAAAGGGUCAUUGGAAGGUGGCUUUCUUUUCGGAGAAAGUGUUUAUAGCCUUUGGCCUCUGCAAUCGGAGAGACUGAGGUCUGCAGCGUAGACUCUUCGGGGUUAGAUACAUUUGUGCUAAGUUAUAGCCUUUUAUAGACAACUUGUUGACUAUGAUUAGUCCAUUGUAGCUUACUCGCUUAUGCUAUUUUACCUACGCUUAGGAUGUUGAAGAUGUAGCACAUCAU